AGUCUUGAUAGAGGCGCGGCUGACAAAAGUAGCCCCCGACAAAACGGCAGGAGACCGUGGGGUGCGAAAGGGGACGCCGCCGAAGGGUCGAUAAAAUCCCUGUUUUGUCGAUACUUGGGUCGUCGGGAAAUACCCGGCGGACUGUCGUCCGGAAGGACGGAGUGCUGUCAUGAUC
rfam:Firmicutes bacterium CAG:129_59_24 Ley3_66761_scaffold_1303, whole genome shotgun sequence.